rnacentral:rRNA from 1 species
ACGAAGGUAGCUUGCUACCAGGCGUCGAGCGGCGGACGGGUGAGUAAUGCUUAGGAAUCUACCGAGUAGUGGGGGAUAGCCAUUGGAAACGAUGAUUAAUACCGCAUAUAUCCUACGGGGGAAAGCAGGGGACCUUCGGGCCUUGCGCUAUUCGAUGAGCCUGAGUGAGAUUAGCUAGUUGGUGGGGUAAAGGCCUACCAAGGCGACGAUCUCUAGCUGGUCUGAGAGGAUGAUCAGCCACACUGGGACUGAGACACGGCCCAGACUCCUACGGGAGGCAGCAGUGGGGAAUAUUGCACAAUGGACGAAAGUCUGAUGCAGCCAUGCCGCGUGUGUGAAGAAGGCCUUCGGGUUGUAAAGCACUUUCAGCGAGGAGGAAAGGUUAGUCGUUAAUAUCGGCUAGCUGUGACGUUACUCGCAGAAGAAGCACCGGCUAAUUUAGUGCCAGCAGCCGCGGUAAUACUAAAGGUGCAAGCGUUAAUCGGAAUUACUGGGCGUAAAGCGCGCGUAGGUGGUUUGUUAAGUUGGAUGUGAAAGCCCAGGGCUCAACCUUGGAACUGCAUUCAAAACUGACUCACUAGAGUACGAGAGAGGUUAGUGGAAUUUCCUGUGUAGCGGUGAAAUGCGUAGAGAUGGGAAGGAACAUCAGUGGCGAAG